AGGGGCUUCUGACUGCUUAUUGCACCACAUGUGUUUUUCUUUGAAACAAACUUGCUUUGGCGGUGGGCCCAGCCUGCCGCCAGAGGUCUAAACUUACAACCAAUUUUUUAUCAACUUGUCACACCAGAUUAUUACUAAUAGUCAAAACUUUCAACAACGGAUCUCUUGGUUCUCGCAUCGAUGAAGAACGCAGCGAAAUGCGAUACGUAAUAUGAAUUGCAGAUAUUCGUGAAUCAUCGAAUCUUUGAACGCACAUUGCGCCCUCUGGUAUUCCGGAGGGCAUGCCUGUUUGAGCGUCGUUUCUCCCUCAAACCGCUGGGUUUGGUGUUGAGCAAUACGACUUGGGUUUGCUUGAAAGACGGUAGUGGUAAGGCGGGAUCGCUUUGACAAUGGCUUAGGUCUAACCAAAAACAUUGCUUGCGGCGGUAACGUCUACCACGUAUAUCUUCAAACUUUGACCUCAAAUCAGGUAGGACUACCCGCUGAACUUAAGCAUAUCAAAAGACGGAGGAA
rnacentral:rRNA from 1 species